AUUGAACGCUGGCGGCAGGCCUAACACAUGCAAGUCGAACGGUAACAGGAAGAAGCUUGCUUCUUUGCUGACGAGUGGCGGACGGGUGAGUAAUGUCUGGGAAACUGCCUGAUGGAGGGGGAUAACUACUGGAAACGGUAGCUAAUACCGCAUAACGUCGCAAGACCAAAGAGGGGGACCUUCGGGCCUCUUGCCAUCGGAUGUGCCCAGAUGGGAUUAGCUAGUAGGUGGGGGAACGGCUCACCUAGGCGACGAUCCCUAGCUGGUCUGAGAGGAUGACCAGCCAGACUGGAACUGAGACCCGGUCCAGACGCCUACGGGAGGCAGCAGUGGGGAAUAUUGCACAAUGGGCGCAAGCCUGAUGCAGCCAUGCCGCGUGUAUGAAGAAGGCCUUCGGGUUGUAAAGUACUUCCAGCGGGGAGGAAGGGAGUAAAGUUAAUACCUUGGCUCAUUGACGUUACCCGCAGAAGAAGCACCGGCUAACUCCGUG
rnacentral:rRNA from 1 species